rnacentral:rRNA from 1 species
CGCUGGCGGCGUGCUUAAUACAUGCAAGUCAACUUGACUUUAGAUAGCAAUAUCGGAAAAGUAGGGUGGCGCACGGGUGCGUAACGCGUAGGUAAUCUGCCCUGAGUCUGACAUAACCCGUCGAAAGGCGGGCUAACAUCAGAUGAUAUAUAGUCACGACAUCGUGGAAAUAUCAAAUCUUCGGAGCCUUGGGAUGAGCCUGCGUCUGAUUAGGUAGUUGGCGGAGUAAUAGCCCACCAAGCCUACGAUCAGUAGCUGGUCUGAGAGGAUGAUCAGCCACACUGGAACUGAGACACGGUCCAGACUCCUACGGGAGGCAGCAGUAAGGAAUAUUGCUCAAUGGGGGGAAACCCUGAAGCAGCAACGCCGCGUGAAGGAUGAAAUACUUUUGUAUGUAAACUUCUGUAAGAUGGGAAAAAUAUUCUCCUCGGGAGAAUUGAUUGUACCAUCAGAGUAAGCCCCGGCUAACUACGUG